rnacentral:rRNA from 1 species
AUACGUAGGGGGCAAGCGUUAUCCGGAUUUACUGGGUGUAAAGGGAGCGUAGACGGAAGGUCAAGUCAGGUGUGAAAGGCAUGGGCUCAACCCGUGGACUGCACUUGAAACUGGUCAUCUCGAGUGUCGGAGGGGCAGGCGGAAUUCCUGGUGGAGCGGUGAAAUGCGUAGAUAUCAGGAAGAACACCGGUGGCGAAGGCGGCCUGCUGGACGAUCACUGACGUUGAGGCUCGAAGGCGUGGGGAGCAAACAGGAUUAGAUACCCUGGUAGUCCACGCAGUAAACGAUGAAUACUAGGUGCUGGGUUCCACAGGGAUUCGGUGCCGGCGCAAACGCAUUAAGUAUUCCACCUGGGGAGUACGUUCGCAAGAAUGAAACUCAAAUGAAUUGGCGGGG